rnacentral:rRNA from 1 species
GCAAGUCGAGCGAGAAGUUCUUGAUUGAUCCUUCGGGUGAAUGACGGAAUGGAAAGCGGCGGACGGAUUAGUAACGCGUGGGCAACCUGCCCCAUACAGGAGGAUCGCCACUGGAAACGGUUAUUAAUACUCCAUAAGACCACAGCAACACAUGUUGCAGAGGUAAAAACUCCGGUGGUAUGGGAUGGGCCCGCGUCUGAUUAGCUAGUUGGUAAGGUAACGGCUUACCAAGGCGACGAUCAGUAGCCGACCUGAGAGGGUGAUC